rnacentral:tRNA from 1 species
GGCUUCGUAGCCCAGCUGGUAGAGCGCUUGCCGCGUCGAGGCAUGGUGUUUCUGCCGCUGGUUCGUAUCCAGUCGAAGCCC